AAACUACUCCCUCCGUCUCAAAAAUCUUAUCUUAGAUUUGUCUACAAAUGGAUGUAUCUAAAUAUCAAAACAUGACUAGAUACAUUUAUACUAAGACAAAAAUUUUGGGACGGAGAGAGUAUAUG
rfam:Hordeum vulgare subsp. vulgare, WGS project CAJW01000000 data, contig: morex_contig_1557878